CGGGACUGACGGGGCU
rnacentral:tRNA from 1 species